rnacentral:rRNA from 1 species
GUGCCAGCCGCCGCGGUAAAACGUAGGAGGCAAGCGUUAUCCGGAUUUACUGGGCGUAAAGCGCGUGUAGGCGGUUCGGUAAGUCGGACGUGAAAUCUCCUGGCUCAACUGGGAGAGGCCGUUCGAAACUACCAGACUAGAGGGCAGUAGAGGGAGGUGGAAUUCCGGGUGUAGCGGUGAAAUGCGUAGAUAUCCGGAGGAACACCUGUGGCGAAGGCGGCCUCCUGGACUGUCCCUGACGCUCAGACGCGAAAGCUAGGGGAGCGAACGGGAUUAGAAACCCUGGUAGUCC